UACGUAGGGUGCAAGCGUUAAUCGGAAUUACUGGGCGUAAAGCGUGCGCAGGCGGUUGUGCAAGACAGAUGUGAAAUCCCCGGGCUUAACCUGGGAACUGCACUUGAAACUACGAUGCUGGAGUAUGGCAGAGGGAGGUGGAAUUCCACGUGUAGCGGUGAAAUGCGUAGAGAUGUGGAGGAACACCGAUGGCGAAGGCAGCCUCCUGGGCCAAUACUGACGCUCAUGCACGAAAGCGUGGGGAGCAAACAGG
rnacentral:rRNA from 1 species